rnacentral:rRNA from 1 species
CGUGCUUAACACAUGCAGGUCGAACGAUGAAGCCCAGCUUGCUGGGUGGAUUAGUGGCGAACGGGUGAGUAACACGUGAGUAACCUGCCCUUAACUCUGGGAUAAGCCUGGGAAACUGGGUCUAAUACCGGAUAGGAGCGUCCACCGCAUGGUGGGUGUUGGAAAGAUUUAUCGGUUUUGGAUGGACUCGCGGCCUAUCAGCUUGUUGGUGAGGUAAUGGCUCACCAAGGCGACGACGGGUAGCCGGCCUGAGAGGGUGACCGGCCACACUGGGACUGAGACACGGCCCAGACUCCUACGGGAGGCAGCAGUGGGGAAUAUUGCACAAUGGGCGCAAGCCUGAUGCAGCGACGCCGCGUGAGGGAUGACGGCCUUCGGGUUGUAAACCUCUUUCAGUAGGGAAGAAGCGAAAGUGACGGUACCUGCAGAAGAAGCACCGGCUAACUACGUGCCAGCAGCCGCGGUAAUACGUAGGGUGCGAGCGUUAUCCGGAAUUAUUGGGCGUAAAGAGCUCGUAGGCGGUUUGUCGCGUCUGUCGUGAAAGUCCGGGGCUUAACCCCGGAUCUGCGGUGGGUACGGGCAGACUAGAGUGCAGUAGGGGAGACUGGAAUUCCUGGUGUAGCGGUGGAAUGCGCAGAUAUCAGGAGG